GUCCACGCCGUAAACGAUGGAUACUAGCUGUUGGGCGCAAGUUCAGUGGCUAAGCGAAAGUGAUAAGUAUCCCACCUGGGGAGUACGUUCGCAAGAAUGAAACUCAAAGGAAUUGACGGGGCCCGCACAAGCGGUGGAGCAUGUGGUUUAAUUCGAUGAUACGCGAGGAACCUUACCAAGGCUUAAAUGUAGAUUGACAGGACUGGAAACAGUUUUUUCUUCGGACAAUUUACAAGGUGCUGCAUGGUUGUCGU
rnacentral:rRNA from 1 species